GUUUAACUGGCAAGUGGUGGAGGCAGAAUUCUGAUAUGCACCGCUGUGACUCCACUCUGUGCUCCCAGUGCCGAGUAAUGAACUUAAGGCUUCAGGUAUGAGCCAGUAGCAAGGCCGGAGAUGCCACACUAAGUGAAAAACGUCCCUGUCAAUCAUCAAGAGUUG